CCACAUCACGUUGAAACACUGCUUCCGAUACGAUUAGCGAAGUUAAGCAUCGUCGAGCCUGGUUAGUACCUAGAUGGGUAACCGCUCGGGAAUACCAGGUGCUGUAAG